UGGCUGUCUUGAACGGUAAAAUCUCUAUAACAGAUGCUAAAGGAUCCCAAGGUUUGAAUGUGAGUGCUUCAAUCAGCCUGCACAGAUUCCAAAUAGACAAGACCGAGCCCAACACUAAAGAAUCAAAGGAUGCCGCAUCAGAGAAGGGCAUUCAGAACAUAUUUACUCAGAUGCUGUUGCCAAAUAUUAAUG